rnacentral:rRNA from 1 species
UGCUACCAUGCAGUCGAACGAUGAUGCCCAGCUUGCUGGGUGGAUUAGUGGCGAACGGGUGAGUAACACGUGAGUAACCUGCCCCUGACUCUGGGAUAAGCGUUGGAAACGACGUCUAAUACUGGAUAUGAUCACUGGCCGCAUGGUCUGGUGGUGGAAAGAUUUUUUGGUUGGGGAUGGACUCGCGGCCUAUCAGCUUGUUGGUGAGGUAAUGGCUCACCAAGGCGACGACGGGUAGCCGGCCUGAGAGGGUGACCGGCCACACUGGGACUGAGACACGGCCCAGACUCCUACGGGAGGCAGCAGUGGGGAAUAUUGCACAAUGGGCGAAAGCCUGAUGCAGCAACGCCGCGUGAGGGAUGACGGCCUUCGGGUUGUAAACCUCUUUUAGUAGGGAAGAAGCGAAAGUGACGGUACCUGCAGAAAAAGCACCGGCUAACUACGUGCCAGCAGCCGCGGUAAUACGUAGGGUGCAAGCGUUGUCCGGAAUUAUUGGGCGUAAAGAGCUCGUAGGCGGUUUGUCGCGUCUGCUGUGAAAUCCCGAGGCUCAACCUCGGGCUUGCAGUGGGUACGGGCAGACUAGAGUGCGGUAGGGGAGAUUGGAAUUCCUGGUGUAGCGGUGGAAUGCGCAGAUAUCAGGAGGAACACCGAUGGCGAAGGCAGAUCUCUGGGCCGUAACUGACGCUGAGGAGCGAAAGCAUGGGGAGCGAACAGGAUUAGAUACCCUGGUAGUCCAUGCCGUAAACGUUGGGCGCUAGAUGUAGGGACCUUUCCACGGUUUCUGUGUCGUAGCUAACGCAUUAAGCGCCCCGCCUGGGGAGUACGGCCGCAAGGCUAAAACUCAAAGGAAUUGACGGGGGCCCGCACAAGCGGCGGAGCAUGCGGAUUAAUUCGAUGCAACGCGAAGAACCUUACCAAGGCUUGACAUACACCGGAAACGGCCAGAGAUGGUCGCCCCCUUGUGGUCGGUGUACAGGUGGUGCAUGGUUGUCGUCAGCUCGUGUCGUGAGAUGUUGGGUUAAGUCCCGCAACGAGCGCAACCCUCGUUCUAUGUUGCCAGCGGGUUAUGCCGGGGACUCAUAGGAGACUGCCGGGGUCAACUCGGAGGAAGGUGGGGAUGACGUCAAAUCAUCAUGCCCCUUAUGUCUUGGGCUUCACGCAUGCUACAAUGGCCGGUACAAAGGGCUGCGAUACCGUAAGGUGGAGCGAAUCCCAAAAAGCCGGUCUCAGUUCGGAUUGAGGUCUGCAACUCGACCUCAUGAAGUCGGAGUCGCUAGUAAUCGCAGAUCAGCAACGCUGC